UACGGGGGGGGCAAGCGUUGUUCGGAAUUACUGGGCGUAAAGGGCGCGUAGGCGGCCUGUGCAAGUCAGUUGUGAAAUCUCCGGGCUUAACUCGGAACGGUCAACUGAUACUGCUCGGCUAGAGUGCGGAAGGGGCAACUGGAAUUCUUGGUGUAGCGGUGAAAUGCGUAGAUAUCAAGAGGAACACCUGCGGCGAAGGCGGGUUGCUGGGCCGACACUGACGCUGAUGCGCGAAAGCUAGGGGAGCGAACGGG
rnacentral:rRNA from 1 species